UACGUAAGGGGCGAGCGUUGCUCGGAAUUACUGGGCGUAAAGGGCGUGCAGGCGGACAAAUAAGUCGAAUGUAAAAGACCGCAGCUUAACUGCGGGCCUGCGUUCGAAACUAUCUGUCUUGAGUCUGGUGGAGGGCAAUAGAAUUCCCGGUGUAGCGGUGAAAUGCGUAGAUAUCGGGAAGAAUACCGAAGGCUAAAGCAGUUGCCUAUGCCAAGACUGACGCUGAGGCGCGAAAGCAUGGGGAU
rnacentral:rRNA from 1 species